UACGAGUGCCCCAAGCGUUAUCCGGAAUCAUUGGGCGUAAAGGGUGUGUAGGUGGCUCUAUAAGUCCGUUGUGAAAGUCAAAGGCUCAACCUUUGAAAGCCGAUGGAUACUGUAGAGCUAGAGUCCGGAAGAGGCGAGUGGAAUUCCUGGUGUAGCGGUGGAAUGCGUAGAUAUCAGGAGGAACACCGGUGGCGAAGGCGGCUAUCUGGACAGAAAACUGACGCUGAGGCGCGAAAAGCUAGGGGGAGCAAACAGG
rnacentral:rRNA from 1 species